rnacentral:lncRNA from 1 species
CUUUAAGAGCCAGAGAAUGGCAGGCUAGUGGGCUGACGGCCCCGCGGAGAGCUGGUGGGAAGUUCAGAGCCAUGGUUCCCCAGACAGCUGCUUCAUUGUCCCCAUUGCUACGCUCCGUUUUGGGUUCAGCCUGUGAAGGUUCUGCAGCUGCGUGUGGACAACCCCGCCCCUUCCCCGGGUUGUGCCACUGUUUAUGUUCUGGGACUGUUAUGGUUUAUCUGAGCUCCAAAUAAUCAGGAUACAAUUUACAGACCACAUGAAGCUCAAUAAGAAGGAAGACCAAAGUGUGGGUGCUUCGGUCCUUAGAACAACAAAAUACUCACAGGAGCAAAUAUGGAGAUAAAGCGUUGAGCAGAGACUGAAGGAAAGGCCACCCAGAGACUCUUACCUGGGGAUUUAUCCUGUACACAGUUUCCAAACCCAGACAUUGUGGAUGCCAAAAGUACAUGCUGAAAGGAGCUUGAUAUGGCUGUCUCCUGAGAGGCCCUGCCAGAGCCUUACAGAGGUGGAUGUUCGCAGCCAACCACUGGACUGAGUGCAGGGUCCCCAGUAGAGGAGUUAAAGAAGGUCUGAAGGGGUUGAAGGGGUUUACAACCCCAUAGGAAGAACAACAAUAUCAAGCAACCAACCAACGCCCCCU